AGUGAACGCUGGCGGUAGGCUUAACACAUGCAAGUCGAACGGCAGCACAGUAAGAGUUUGCUCUUCCGGGGGGCGAGUGGCGGACGGGUGAGGAAAACAUCGGAACCUACUUUUUCGUGGGGGUUAACGUAGGGAAACUUACGCUCAUACCGCAUACGCCCUACGGGUGAAAGCAGGGGAUCUUCGGACCUUGCGCGAUUGAAUGAGCCGAUGUUGGUUUAGCUAGUUGGCGGGGUAAAGGCCCACCAAGGCGACGAUCCGUAGCUGGUCUGAGAGGAUGAUCAGCCACACUGGAACUGAGACACGGUCCAGACUCCUACGGGAGGCAGCAGUGGGGAAUAUUGGACAAUGGGCGCAAGCCUGAUCCAGUCAUACCGCGUGGGUGAAGAAGGCCUUCGGGUUGUAAAGCCCUUUUGUUGGGAAAGAAAAGCAGCAGGUUAAUACCCCGCUGUUCUGACGGUACCCAAAGAAUAAGCACCGGCUAACUUCGUG
rnacentral:rRNA from 1 species